rnacentral:pre_miRNA from 9 species
UAUGGGAAGAAGGAGCUCUCUUCAGUCCAGUCCAAGGCGGUUGAGGGCUGGGACUUAGCUGCUGACUCGUUGGUUCAAGAGCUCAUCAUCAUCAAUGUGUAAGAGAUGUCUUUUUGAUCCAACGAAGCUGGAGCUGUGUUCAGUUAUGGCUGUCAUGUCUUGGACUGAAGGGAGCUCCCUCCAAUUCUUAC